rnacentral:rRNA from 1 species
CGUAGGUAACCUGCCUGGUAGCGGGGGAUAACUAUUGGAAACGAUAGCUAAUACCGCAUAAUAGCAGUUAUUGCAUGAUAACUGUUUUGAAAGGUGCAAUUGCAUCACUACCAGAUGGACCUGCGUUGUAUUAGCUAGUUGGUGGGGUAACGGCUCACCAAGGCGACGAUACAUAGCCGACCUGAGAGGGUGAUCGGCCACACUGGGACUGAGACACGGCCCAG